AAACCAUGGUGAGGGAACCUCCGUAAGAGAUGCUCAUACCUUUCCCAUGCUUCAUACAAUGACUCCAAGUUUUGUUGGUAAAAAUUGAUAAUCUCACUCCUCAGCUU